rnacentral:rRNA from 1 species
GCGGAUGAAUGGAUUAACGA